rnacentral:lncRNA from 1 species
UUGCCCAGCUAUGCAACCCAAGAGGGGGGGGGGGUGAAUUGGGUUUCUAAAAAAUUUUAAGCCCAACAGAUAACUUAUGAAGAACAAAACAAUGGCUUUAAAUCAAUAUUAAUUACCUAAAGCAGUAUUGCAAGGAUAUAAUAAAGAAAUAAGAUAAAACGAUAAAGCACACCACAAACAUAAGGAUUUAUAGUGGUUCGGUGCUAACCUUGCACCUACAUCCACUCCCCAAGAUCCCACUUGAGAAUUUUAAUCCACUAUCCUUUGUAUUCAACCCGAAUACAAAACGUCGGAAACUCCGACACUAGCUAUCCCAAGCUAGAACACAAGACGUCGGAAACUCCGACACUAGCUAUCCCAAGCUAGAUCACUUGUUUCCCAGGUACAAGUAAACCCAAAACACUCCGAUUUCAGGUUCGGAUCAACCUUUCCUUGUUUUGGAAAUCCUCCAAACACAAGAAC